UGGGGAAUAUUGGACAAUGGGCGGAAGCCUGAUCCAGCCAUGCCGCGUGUGUGAAGAAGGCCUUUUGGUUGUAAAGCGCUUUAAGCGAGGAGGAGGCUCUUCUAGUUAAUACCUAGGAUGAGUGGACGUUACUCGCAGAAUAAGCACCGGCUAACUCUGUGCCAGCAGCCGCGGUAAUACAGAGGGUGCGAGCGUUAAUCGGAUUUACUGGGCGUAAAGCGUGCGUAGGCGGCUGAUUAAGUCGGAUGUGAAAUCCCUGAGCUUAACUUAGGAAUUGCAUUCGAUACUGGUCAGCUAGAGUAUGGGAGAGGAUGGUAGAAUUCCAGGUGUAGCGGUGAAAUGCGUAGAGAUCUGGAGGAAUACCGAUGGCGAAGGCAGCCAUCUGGCCUAAUACUGACGCUGAGGUACGAAAGCAUGGGGAGCAAACAGG
rnacentral:rRNA from 1 species